CCCUCCAGCCAGGGUGGAGCCAACUGCACAGCAAGAGUGGGAGGCAAAGGCACUCCAGCCAUGGGCUCGGGGUGCCGGUGCGGGAGACCAGGGGGGUCUCCCAUGCUGCUAUUGCUGCUGCUGUUGCUUCCCGCGUGUCCUCUGCUGAGCGCUCGGAUGUUUCCAGGAAAUGCUGGUGGAGAGCUAGUCACUCCCCACUGGGUUUUGGAUGGGAAAACGUGGCUCAAGGUCACCCUGAAAGAGCAGAUCUCCAAGCCUGACUCAGGGCUGGUGGCUUUAAAGGCUGAAGGCCAGGAUCUCCUGCUUGAAUUGGAGAAGAACCACAGGCUUCUGGCCCCAGGAUACACAGAAACCUACUACAGCCGGGAUGGGCAGCCCAUAGUGCUGUCCCCCAACCACACGGAUCAUUGCCACUAUCAGGGGUGUGUGAGGGGCUUCCGGGAAUCCUGGGUAGUCCUCAGCACCUGCUCGGGGAUGAGUGGCCUUAUUGUGCUUAGCAGCAAAGUGAGCUAUUAUCUACACCCCUGGAUGCCUGGGGACACCAAGGACUUCCCAACCCACAAGAUCUUCCGGGUGGAACAAUUGUUCACCUGGAGAGGGGCCCGGAAAGACAAGAACUCCCAAUUCAAAGCAGGAAUGGCCCGUCUUCCUCAUGUCCCCCACAGACGGAUGAGGCGAGAGGCUCGCAGGAGUCCCAAGUACCUGGAACUGUACAUAGUGGCUGACCACGCCCUGUUCUUGCUUCAGCGUCAGAAUUUGAACCACACAAGACAGCGCCUCCUGGAAAUUGCCAAUUGCGUGGACCAGAUUCUCAGGACUCUGGAUAUUCAGUUGGUGUUGACCGGGCUGGAAGUGUGGACGGAGCAGGAUCAUAGCCGCAUCACGCAGGACGCAAACGAAACGCUCUGGGCUUUCCUACAGUGGCGCCGUGGGCUGUGGGUCAGGAGACCACACGACUCCACGCAACUGCUCACGGGCCGCACUUUCCAGGGUACCACGGUGGGCCUGGCGCCUGUGGAGGGCAUGUGCCACGCAGAGAGCUCCGGAGGUGUGAGCACAGACCACUCGGAACUCCCCAUCGGCACAGCAGCCACCAUGGCCCACGAGAUAGGCCACAGCCUAGGCCUCCACCAUGACCCAGAGGGCUGCUGCAUGGAGGCAGACGCAGAACAAGGAGGCUGCGUCAUGGAAGCAGCUACAGGGCAUCCUUUCCCGCGCGUCUUCAGCGCCUGCAGCCGCCGCCAGCUGCGCACCUUCUUCCGCAAAGGGGGCGGUGCGUGCCUCUCUAACGUCUCGGCUCCCGGGCUCCUGGUGCUGCCCAGCCGCUGCGGAAACGGCUUCGUGGAAGCAGAAGAAGAGUGCGACUGCGGUUCUGGCCAGAAGCGCCCAGAUCCCUGCUGCUUUGCCCACAACUGUUCCCUGCGUGCCGGGGCGCAAUGCGCCCAGGGUGAUUGCUGUGCGCGGUGCCUGCUAAAGCCCGCAGGCACACCUUGUCGUCCCGCCGCGAACGACUGCGACCUCCCCGAGUUCUGCACCGGCACCUCCCCUCAUUGUCCCGCAGAUGUUUACCUACUGGAUGGCUCACCCUGCGCUGAGGGUCGUGGCUAUUGCCUAGAUGGCUGGUGUCCCACGCUGGAGAAGCAGUGCCAGCAGCUAUGGGGGCCUGGAUCCCAGCCGGCUCCUGAGCCAUGUUUCCAGCAGAUGAACUCCGUGGGGAAUUCACAGGGGAACUGUGGCCAGGACAGUAAGGGUAGCUUCCUGCCCUGCACACAGAGGGACGCUCAGUGUGGGAAGUUGCUGUGCCAGGGAGGGAAGCCAAACCCACUAGUGCCGCACGUAGUGACUGUGGAUUCCACAAUUCUGCUAAAGGGCCGCCAAGUGCUUUGCCGGGGAGCUUUCGUACUCCCUGAUACUCAUCUGGACCAGCUUGGCUUGGGUCUGGUGGAGCCAGGCACCCGCUGUGGACCUAGAAUGGUGUGCCAGGAGAGGCACUGUCAGAAUGCUACCUCCCAGGAGUUGGAGCGUUGCUCGAGUGGCUGCCAUAACCGUGGGGUUUGCAAUAGCAAUCGUAACUGUCACUGUGCUGCAGGCUGGGCUCCACCCUUCUGUGACAAGCCUGGCUUGGGUGGUAGUGUGGAUAGUGGCCCUGCACAGUCUGCGAAUCCAGAUGCCUUCCCAUUGGCCAUGCUACUCAGCUUUCUGCUGCCUCUACUUCCUGGGGCUGGCCUAGCCUGGUGCUACUACCAGCUCCCAACACUCUGUCAGCAACCAGGACGGUGCUGCAGGAGGGACGCCCUAUGUAAUAGGGACCAACCUCUGGGCAGUGUUCACCCUGUGGAGUUUGGCUCCAUCAUCACUGGAGAGCCCUCGCCCCCGAACCCUGAGGAGUCUGAGCUUACCUAGGAGCUGCCUGCCCUCUGAGGCUUGUGCCGUGCAGACCUGCCCGAUCCCUACGGGCCUGCUCUCUCCCCUGGGGUAGGACACUUGCUGCUCCUUGCCUCUACAGCAGCUGUGAGCGAGAGGAUGCUGCAAGUGUGUAUGGCCGGAUUAGCUCCAGCCCAUAAUCUAACACCAAGUAAUUAUGAUUUCCCUUGACAGCUGGCCAUUGACAAACACAGGUUCUUUUACUACAAUUUUAACUACCAAUAUUAACUAAUAAUGUGUAUAAAAUACAUACCACAGUGCAUUAUAUAUCUUAGUACAUAUAUGUUAGUACAUAUGAAUGUAUUAUAUAUAUUAUUUUUAAUUAAUAUUAUUUCAUUUUAUUAUUUUAUAAGUUGAUAUUAUUUUGCUAAAUGUUAAUUACAAUGUUCACAGUAUAUGUUAAUAUAAAAUAUAAUAUUAAAUAUUGUUUUAUUAUUUGAUAUUUUAAUUAUAUAGAUUUAAUUAAUAUAAUAAUACCUAUAUAUUUAGUACAUAUAUAUAUAGCUCACAGCAAUAAAAGGGUAGAAGCUUUUCCUUUCUUUUUGCAGUAAAGAUCAGAGCUAAUUUUUCAUGUGGAAUGAGUGGAAUGAGCUAAUUUUUCUGCACUGGCUCUUGGUCUUUUGCUCCAUAGACAUAUGUAAGUAUGGAUGUGUGUGUGAGUGUGUAAUUAUAAGAUAGCAUGUAAGCUGAGACAACUGGGUUGAAUGGAGAUUUGUGAGUGUGUGUGCACAUGAAUCUGUAUAUGAAUUUAUGUGAGUUUAAUCCAUAAUUGCUGUGUAAAAGUUUUUCCUUCUGUGAGUGUGAUUCUCUUCUCCUGGUUCGAUAGAAGUUUAUUGCUCCAAACUUCCCCCUAGCCUGACAAGCGAGAGGCAUCUGGACAAGAGAAAAGGCUCUGGCAAUUAAUCCUUUACUUGAUUACCCAAUUCCUUUUUCUUAGAGAAUUUCAUAGGAAACUUUUUAGAGAGAACAUAGAAAUAAAGGCUUAAGGCACUUGUUGAAGUGUCCUCUUUUCCUCCUAAGACUUCCACUAGCAGACCAGGAGUUAGAGCCGGGAGUUAGAGCAGGGAGUUAGAGCUGUGUAGUUACAGCUGGGAGUUAGAGCUGUGUAGUCAAAGCUGGGCAGUUCUGGAGGAGAUAGAACAAAAGCUACUUUACUUAAUCCCUUGCUGCUUUAGGAUAAAGUACUAAAUGCCAGAGAUGGCAGUUUUUGGCCCCCAAAAGGAACUCGGGCAGAUCAGCUACAGUAGUGACGUGACUUAGACUUAAGAUAGGUAAACAUUUUAUUAUUAAACAGUAAUCCCAAAUAUCUCAUAAGAUCAAGUCUUACCUCUGCCGAUGCUCCUCCCUGUUUGCUGCCUCAAGAGGAACCAAGCAGAAAGGAGAACCCCCAGGGCUGGCCCCUGGCACAAAAGGGUUAAAGAUGCAGAAGCAUGGGGAAAUGAAGAGAUGGCUCAGCUGUUAAGAGAAUAACUUACUCUUCCAGAGGACCAGUGUUCAGGUCCCAGUAAACAUAUCAGGUGCUGCACCAUCACUCUCCAGCUGUAGAUCUGACACAGCUGGCCUCCACAGGUACGCACGCGCACAAACGUGACACACCUGUUACCCAAGGGAAAAAGUCCUAGGACGAGGGUCAGUGAAACGACUGAAUGUCUCCAUCCUCAGCAAUAGCACAGGGAUAGCUCUGAGCUCAAGAACUCUCCCCUGGGACCAUGGGGACAUUUGCUCUGACCAGUGGGGGGAGGGGCUUACCAGUUCUCCGAAGUCGGAUCUCCACAUGGUAGCAGGUGGGAUGUAGAGAUUGAAAGCAAACCUGGAGAGUUUUUACAUCUGAGUCAUGGCACGAUAUGAUGUGUUUAUAAAAUGAUAAGGAGAGGAGAAGGAAUAUGUUUUGGUGGACGUGUAGUCAGGUAUGGGGGAAGGGGUGCCUUCGUGGGCCCAUGCUGAGGCCCUUCCACCUGAGGGACCAGUCACAUAGUAUGGUAUAAAAUAGAGUCGCAUAGUAUAGAACAGAGUUUAUUCAGGGCAUGGGGAGGGCAGUUAAGAGAAUAGUAGAGACAGAGAAAGGCAGAUAGAGAAAGAGAGAGGGAGAGGGAGAGGGAGAGGGAGAGGGAGAAGAGGAAUAGAAUAGAGGCCGGCCAAGACCAUGUGGAGAGACAGGGGAGAAGGGAAUGGGGAGAGAGUGGGAUGGAUCAAGAAGGCAAAGCAAGAGCACGAAAAAGAGGAGGGGGCAAGCAACCCCUUUUAUAGAGUCAGACAUACCUGACUGUUGCUGGGUAACUGUGGGCGGAGCUUAGACAAAUGCUAACAGCACCCACAAUUAAAAGUAAGAUAGAUAUGAAGCAGCAAAGCUGAAAUUGUCAAGUGCUUGUGUAGCACAGACCAAGUCCAGGGUUUGGUCCCUACCUGUUAGAAUGUUCUUGGUAUCACACAAAGGAACACUCAUGCAAAGACAGGGUUUCUCUGUGUAACAGCCUUGGCUGUCCCUGAAAUCCACUGUGUAGACCAGGCUGGCCUCUAACUCUCAGAGAUCCGCCUGCCUCCCCAGAGCUGGGAUUAAAGGCGUGUAAUGAAGGUGACACCUGUUCCUUUCACCAUUGGUCCGGCCUCAGUCUUCUUAAAAGACUCAGUACAAAGGACAUAAAGGAAAGUGGGAGGGGGGGGGCACUUAAGCCAUUUUAAGUUUGAAAUAUAGUAGGGGCUUUAUGUAAAGAAAAGUUUUGCCAGAGCAGGAUUCAAACAUUUGCAUAGAUGUUUUACAAGGUCAGAAGAUAAAAAAAAAUUGAUCCUUCUCUGGAACAAAAGCUUUACACUAGUGUUUACUAGAAAGACUAAUGUUUAAUGUUUCUUACUCACUAGAUACACCAAGUAUGAGGCAUACACCUGUCCUGGUGAAUGUCCUGUCUUCCAUAUCUGUGGACAUUUGAACAUUAGGUCCCCAGGUCGUGACCCUGUAUGGGGAGGUUUAAGAGGUGUGGCCUGGCUGGAGGAAGGGCAUAUGCUGGGGGCAGGAUUUGAGGUUUCAAAGCCUCCCACAAUCCCCAGUCUGCUCUCCCUGCUCCCAGUUGUGGCCCUCAGUUCCCAGCUGGCUACCUCGCCUGAUGCUGAAAUGGGAAAUUCCCUGGGAGUCUCAUGCUGGGAGACGGAAAGAUGGCAGCCAGUCUGUCAUGGAGAGAUCUCAUGCGGGCCUCACAGGAUGACACUGAAGCCUCGAUGAGGGUGGGUGAAUGGUGGGCAGGGCUGCCUAGCCUUGGCCUUAAAUUUAAAGUUUAAUUUUACUUCAGGACUAGAGAGCAGGGCAGUAUUCCGUGGAUCCAUCUCUCUCUCUCUCUCUCUCUCUCUCUCUCUCUCUCUCUCUCUCUCUCUCCUCAGUGUAGCCACAUUCAACAAAUCCCCCUUCUCUGCUUUUAAUCUGGUUUAUUUUUAAUUUUUAAUUGGGUUUAUUUCUUUUAAUCUGGUUUAUUGGGACAGGCGGCCAAACCUAGUUUGGACGCAGUUUGUGACUGUAAGCAAAUGUAUAAACUGGCAGUGUGAUCACUCCAAGUUGUCAUUACGGGGAAGGUUUUUAUUGUAGAUAAAGAGAGAGAACAGUCAGAGGCAUAUGGAAAAGUCUAGAGCAGAGAGAGGAAGAAGUAGACAUGCCCAGUCUGUGUGUGAGAGAGAGUAACAGCAAGGGACAGGAAACAGAGAAAACACAGUGAGAGAAACAAGAAGCAGAGCAGAGCAGGGUAGGGAGGGGAGGUGGGAGGAGACACAGGGAGGGAGAGGACAUAUUGAAAAGUAGCAGGUGGGAGUGCUGGUGGCACACAGUGUAAUCCCUGCCCUUGAGAGGCAGAGGCAGGCAGAUCUCUGAGUUUGAGGCCAGCCUGGUCUACAGAGUUCCAGGACAGCCAGGGCUACACAGAGAAACCCUACUUCACAAACAAACAACAGAAAGCAGACCAAAACAACAACAGCAACAAAAGAAAAAAAAGAAGGAAAAAUAGCAGUGCUGUGAGGAUGGGUGACUGUGGGGAGGAAGCCGUGAGCUGGAGGGAGCUUAGGGUGGGGAAGAGGUGAGAAGCAUGGUGAGAAGAUUCUAGUGUGCAGACUGAAAUGUGUGACAGGUACAUGAGAGACUGAGGAGUCUGGAGGCCAGCAUGGGCCAUGAUGGGCUGACAGGUGCCACUUGUCCCUUCUGCCAGUGAAGCUGAGGGGAACCAGCGUCACAAGUUCCUGAGGAACGCUGGCUUUUACCUAACUGCCAGGCAUCCACCUAGAGUCCAGGCUGAGCUAUUUUCUGGAUAUUUGAACAGAGUUUUGGAGCCUGGGGAAUUGGCGUGUCCUCUGGACCUGACACAGCCAACCUUGCUUACUUUGGAUCCCCCAUAUGUUCAGCUUUCACAAUCUAAGCUAAUGCAUGGCUUUAAUUAUGUGCUCUGUCAGGCCCCAGUCCAGAUUAAUGUGUGUGCAUGUGUGUGUCUGUGAUCAGUUACUUAUGUAUAAACGUGUGCGCAUGUGUAUGUUUGUGAUCAGUUACUUGUGUAUUAGUGUUUGUGCAUGUGUAUAUUGUAAUUAUUAUUCAUUAGUGGGUGUACAUGUGUUUGUGAUCACUUACUUAUGUAUUAACAUGUGUGCAUGUGUAUGUUGUGAUCAUUUAGUUCUGUAUCAAUUCUAGUCUUGGAAUUACAUUUAUUCGAGCACAUUGCCUUGCCCUCCUUCCUAGCAGGAGGAAUGGUGCUUUUUAGCACACAAGGGGACUUUCUUCUUACUUCUCUAAGGAAAAUGCCUCCAAAGUCAAGGCCAUAAACAAAGCCCAGGGCUCCAGGAAAUCUUCUGCUAAAGGAUUACAGGAAAGCAGCCCCACCACAUGCCCUGGAGUGUGGAGAUUGCCAAAAAAAAAAAAAAAAAAAAAAUGAAUAAGAAA